rnacentral:lncRNA from 1 species
GGCUAACAUGGCCCCAAGAUGGUCCAAUGGAAAGCUCUUCUUCUAAUCAAAUAGUGAACAAUCCAGGAAUAACCAAAGAAAAAGUUCAUCUUAUUAUUUGUUUUCACAGCAGCUCCAUGAGGCAGAAUUAAUUUUGUGUGUUUUGCAGAUACGGGAACAGUAGGUGAGAGCAUGAGUAACUCAGCUCAGGUCACACAGCAGGUGGGAGAGAACUGGAACAAGAACCCAGUGCUCUUUCUGCUCUACCCACUGACCCAUCCUCUCACGCAUCAUACACCCAUACUCCCAUCCACCCACCUUCCCAUUCAUGCAUUCACCCAUUCACCCACCUUCCAUCCAUCUACCAUCCACCACGUACCUACACUCCCAUCUACCAUCCAACCACAUUUCCAUUCACCCAUCCUCCCAUCCAUCAACCCUCCAAUCCACCACCCACAGACCUUCCCAUCCAUUCAUUUACCCAUCCACAUAUUCACCCACCCUCCCAUCCAUCCAUCUACUGUCUAUCACCUACUCAUUUUCCCAUCUGCUAUUCACCCCCACCCUCCCUCCCAUCCAAUCAUCCACUGUCCCAACCAUCCACCAUCUACCCACCUAUCCACC